UACGGAGGGGACUAGCGUUGUUCGGAAUUACUGGGCGUAAAGCGUACGUAGGCGGAUUAGUAAGUUAGAGGUGAAAUCCCAGGGCUCAACCUUGGAACUGCCUUUAAUACUGCUAGUCUUGAGUUCGAGAGAGGUGAGUGGAAUUCCAAGUGUAGAGGUGAAAUUCGUAGAUAUUUGGAGGAACACCAGUGGCGAAGGCGGCUCACUGGCUCGAUACUGACGCUGAGGUACGAAAGUGUGGGGAGCAAAC
rnacentral:rRNA from 1 species